AGGGAACCAUCGUGACCUGUUUUAUAGAAGGCUCCUCCCUUUUGGAAAAGACACCCAUCUCCCAUUCUGGAGAAAGAUCAUGUACUUAGGGCAGCAAGACACUGUGGGAGAAGCACAGAUUUUGGCAUCAGGGAUGCAGGUCGUUGGAUGAAGAGUAAGCAUGAGCACAGAGCUAGCCCCUGAUGGAGGAAGAGACGCAUGGAUGGAAUUGUCGGAGUGGAUUAUCCACCUUCCUGCCCACCAGCCGCUGAGAAUGAAGUAACACAUAGCUGCUCUGAUCACCCACAGAACUCUGAGGACGGUUGCCUCCAGCUGCAAACACCCUUGUCUGUGUAUCCUUGCGCCCUCACCAACAAUACUGUUUCCUAGGUAUAUUUCGAAGCGGAAAAGGUUGGGAGGAUUAUUCUAACUCCCCUCCAUAGCCCUUUAUAGCUGAGAUUAUUCUUACUAUUCAUUGCAUAAGUGUGUGGUCAGAGGCACUCCUGACUUCUUGGCAAGCCUCUGCUCUUGGCUUCCUCGUCAGCUGCUCUUUGUGCUCACAGCUUGCAUGUGGCACCAAGGUGUGUGUGUAGAUGAGAGAAAAGGGGGCCUGCUCACACCCACCUGGGGGAGCGUGAACUGACACAAGCACUUUGGAGAGCAAGUGGGCAAAAGCUUGGAAAGCUCACAAGCAAUUAUGACCUACACUUUCCCCUUCUGGCUCAAUGCCAGAAGGAACCCCAAUGCAGACACAUAAGGGGGCAUAUCAGAAGCUCAUUAAAGCAUGACCUGCCACCAAAUGCCCAUCAACGAGACGAGGGCACUCUACAUGCCCUGGUCUGCUGUCUGGAAAUGAAAAGAAGAAAACAAAAAUGAAUGCAUGUUUCAAAAUGGAGACAUCUGAGAAACAUAAUACAGAGUGCAAAAAGGAGGUUACUGAAUGGCACAUACUUCAUACCAGUCAAAUAAAGCAAUAGUGCAUAUGGUUUAUGAAGAAAUGCAAAGGCCUUAAAGAAGAGAAACUUGUGUGUCAGAGAUGUAUGGCCAUUUGGGGACAGUGGUUACUUCUGUUGGAAGGAGGGAGA